rnacentral:rRNA from 1 species
GGCUGCAACCCGCCUGCACGAAGCCGGAGUUGCUAGUAAUCGCGAAUCAGAAUGUCGCGGUGAAUGCGUUCCCGGGUCUUGUACACACCGCCCGUCACACCAUGGAAGUUGGGGGGUGCCCAAAGCCGGCAAGCAAAUAUGCUGUCUAAGGCAAAACCAAUGACUGGGGUGAAGUCGUAACAAGGUACC